rnacentral:lncRNA from 1 species
GGUUGGGGGUGGGGGCGGGGGGGAAGGAGAGCGAAAAAGCGGACUGGUGGAGAGUGGAGAUCGAGGGAGACGAAGAACGCUGUUGCAUGGGCCGGGUCGGGCCUCGGGCCACGUCGGGCUCAGACCAGUCGGGCCGGACAGCCCGCCGCACGGCACGGGUGCCUCGCCGGAGCGCCGGAGCACGGCGCGCAGCACUCCGGCCUGCCGUGGGUCUGCUGGAGGAAGAUGCCGUUGAGGACCUCGCGGUGGAGGCGGGGGNNNNNNNNNNNNNNNNNNNNNNNNNNNNNNNNNNNNNNNNNNNNNNNNNNNNNNNNNNNNNNNNNNNNNNNNNNNNNNNNNNNNNNNNNNNNNNNNNNNNNNNNNNNNNNNNNNNNNNNNNNNNNNNNNNNNNNNNNNNNNNNNNNNNNNNNNNNNNNNNNNNNNNNNNNNNNNNNNNNNNNNNNNNNNNNNNNNNNNNNNNNNNNNNNNNNNNNNNNNNNNNNNNNNNNNNNNNNGCCAGCGCACGGGGGGGUGGAGGUAGGAGAAGCAGUCGGGGCAGUAGAUAAAGGACAGAGAAAACGUGAUUUCGAAUCUGAUUUUGACCGGUCAAAGCUGGGUUGCUGGCUGUUGGUUGGCCUCACGUGCGAUAGAGAGAGAGAGAGAGAGACAGAGAGGUUCUCGAGCCCUCCUAUUUGCCGGUCGCUGCGGCGGCACGUAGUAUUUUUUCUCUUUUUUUUUAGAGAAAGCUGCCACUUUAUAGGUUAACUAUGUUAUCAUUGAACUCUCGAUUGACCAGCAGUACUGGCUGCUAUAGUUGAGUUGUGGGCACUCUUUUCUUUUCUCUUUCUGAAAACUAAACACCUCCUCUUUUUUAUUUACGGUUAAACUAAACACAUUUUUGAUUGGGCUAAUUAUCCGUUUGUCCUUAGUGGUGUCCAUGUGCUCAUUUUUGUCCUGGGAAUCGUGCUUAAUUUUGUUCCUAGACUGUGCGCAACUACUAUGACGAGGCCAAACGGGCAGUUUUGAGUCCAUUUCAUUUAUUGGCGUUGGUGGUAGUGGGUCCGAAGCUUAUACGUGGGACCGCAUGGAUGUGGGUCUGGAGCUUACAUGUGGGACCGCGCAACAACGUCUUCAAAUCAAUCCUAGUGUUCUAACCGGGCCACUCGACGCCACUUUGUCCCGUCACCGCCCGGCCUCCUGCUCCACUGCUACCUGCUCCGUCUGCCACCUUCCUACGACGCCACGGGUGGGACGCCCGCCACCUGCUCGACCCGCGGUGUGGCCUCAUGGAAAAUAAUUUCCUACUCCGUAUUAAAGUUGUGGCGUUUCUAUUCCUUAUGCCCAGACACAUCUGAGACUGAGAGUUCUGGCUCAGGAUUCAGCCUCGAGAGAAUGUGUUAAAAGUAUACUAAUUAACCAAAUUUAACUCAAACACUUGCCACCUCCGUCUCGUUAUAAGGUUUCUCAAGAAUAUCUUGUCCAACACGGUGAUCAAGAUAAAGCUACAGAUAAGCAUAUGUGACCAUUGACGUGAAGCUCCACGAUAUUUCUAGGGAGAAUGCAUAGCACCACCUAUGUUCCUUGCUUAUUGACCGGCUAGCACCAUCUAUUGACCGGCUAACACCACCUAUGUUCCUUUUAUGCUAACUUUUUUUCAUAAUAUUUACCCUUAAAGCUUCUGUUUGAACAAAAAAUUACGCUAGACGAUCAUAGGUGUAUUAUGGUGACCCUUGAAAAGCGCACAACUCAUAAGUUGGCCUAGCUAUCAAAUGUUCAGUGAACAAAUUAGAUCGAAAUAGUAGGCCAUGAAUUUGUAGAAGUUUGAUAUAAACCAGGCCAAUCAACACAAAGAGAAAUCUUUCUAUUGCGCGUUUGACCUGUCAGAUAUACUUUGCUCGGUCGGUUAUCACCACACUGUUAUCACCAGAAGGCAAACAAAUAAAAAUGCUUGGUCGGUUCUAUCCCAGAUGUUCGCCACUCUAAAAGCAAAAAAACAAACAAACCUCACAUUAUAUCCAACAAAAGCAGAGUGGAAUGCAAGAUGCACCAUCGCCAAGUUAAGCAGCAUUCAAGACAUACCAUGCUGACAGGGUGUGCCUGCCAGCUUUCGAGUGCUUGGUUGGAAAUAACAAACAAAAAACAUUUUCACACAACACAGACCAAGAGCAACCGGACUUUUUUUAUUAACUAAGUAAGCAAACAAAGUCUUAAGUUCUCAAAUACAAAACAAACUAUGAUAAAAGUCGCACACACGUGGACGAGAACUGCCACAUUCCGUGAAGAGAAACAAAUAGACCACAAUGCUAUUUGAAUUCUGGUCAAACCUAACUUUGAUCAAGAUUUAAAGAAGUCUAAAACAUCAAAAUGAAAAACUAACCAUGGAUCCUUCUUAGUCACUCCAAAAUGAAGCUGUGGUGAGGUUUUUGAAAAUUUCAUGUUCCAAACCCCAAACCACUUCUCUUCACUUCAUACGUGAAAAACUUUCAUUUGAAUGUAUGUAGACUCUGUUUAUCAAAUUAAAUUGCUAGUAUAUGACAUAAGAAGACUAUGUGCGCUGAUUUUUCAUUUUUUUGAUUUUUUUUAGAUUAUGCCCAUUUGAAUUCUGGUCAAACCUAACUUUGACCAACAUUUAAAUAAGUCUAACACAUGAAAAUAAAAAACUAACCCUGGAUCCUUCUUAGUCACUCUAAAAUGAAGCUGUGGUGAGGUUUUUGAAAAUUUCAUGUUCCAAACCCCAAACCACUUCUUUUCACUUCAUACAUCAAAAAAAUUCAUUUGAAUGUAUGUAGACCUUGUUUAUCAACUUAAAUUGCUACUAUAUGACAUAAGAAGACUAUGUGCGCUGGUUUUUCAUUUUUCUGAUUUUUUUUUUGAAUUUUUUAUGCCCAUUUGAAUUCUGGUCAAACCUAACUUCGACGAACAUUUAAACAAGUUUAAAACAUAAAAAUGAAAAACUAAGCCUGGAUCCUUCUUAGUCACUCCAAAAUGAAGUUGUGAUGAGGUUUUUGAAAUUUUCAUGUUCAUUUCCCCAAAUAACUUCUCUUCACUUCAUACAAGAGAGUUUGAGAUACUUGAGAUAUCACAUGAGACACACGAACUUUUCGUUUAAAUGUAUGUAGAUCUUGUUUAUCAACUUAAAUCGUUAGUAUAUAACAUAAGAAUACUAUGUGCGCUGAUUUUUCAUUUUUAUGAUUUUUAUUUAUUUUAUUAUGCUCAUUCGGAAUCUGGUCAAACCUAUCUUUGAUUGCUCCAAACCCCUCCCAAACCCCGCUAACCCUAGCGAUGAACAAGGACCGUCCAUCUAACUCUAGCGUCGAACAAAGAUCGUCGAUCUGCGGCGAGGAGGAGGGGCGAUCCUUGAGAUGCAAUCUGAUAGGCUGUGCGAUUUUUUUUCUCAACAUACAUAAUGGGCGCGCUGGAUGGACCGUUGGGCCGUCAUGCUGUCCGGGCCUGUAAGCGUUGUUAAUGCCCGUCUCGGCCUUUCCACGCAUGCAUGCAUGGGAAGUACGGCGACGUGGGCAUCCAUGCGGGGGAGGCGGACGUGGGCAUGCAUGCGCGGGAGGCAGACGUGGGCAUGCAUGCGCGGGAGGGGUUUCUUCCUCCUCCGCCUUCUUCCUCGACUACCGCACCCGCUGACCAGCCGGUCGCCUCGCCUGCCGCGCGCUGGCACCGCCGCCUCCUUCCUCAACUGUCGCAUGCUGGCACCGCCGCCUUCUUCCUCUACUACCGUGCCCGCUGACCAGCCGGCCGCCUCGUCUGUCGCACGCUGGCACCGCCGCCUCCUUCCUCGGUUGUCGCGUGCUGGCACCGUUGCCUCCUUCCUCGGCUGUCGUGCGCUGAUCGGUCGUGGUUCGGUCGCCUCGACUGCCGCGUGCAGUAAUGCCGCGGUUCGGACGCCCGACGCCUCGGCUGCCACUCGCAGUAAGGCGCGGUUCAGCCGCCUAACGCCUUGCCUGUCAUGCGCAUUAACAGCGCGGUUUUACCACCCGACGCCUCGCCUGCCCCCGCAGGGCUAUAAAAGCCGAUGUCGGCCCCGUCCCGAUCAGCACCGACCCCUCCUCCUCUCUUCUUUCUUGCCACGAUUCUCUCUGCCACAACCGACAUGUCAAGCGACUCCGACAGCGACGGUGUGGCGUCGGGCGGAGGCGGGCUGUCCAGCCUGACCGCCGCCCAGAACGAAGAUCUGGCCCGGUUCGGGUUGUCCGUGUCGCCGUUGGCAAAGCUGCCGCGGCCAUGGCGAAUCUCCGCCGACGUCCACCCAACCCUCGGACCACCGGCAUUGAGGGAGGAACUCCGGAGGCACCCCGACGGCCGGUACGAUAGGAAAGGGCGCCGCCGCUAUUGGACAGGCAAAAACUUUGACGACAUCGUCGGGGCGUUCAGGCGCGUCGCCCGUGGUGUCCCCGUCGGGAACAUCCCGUGGGAGGCCGGCCCUUCGUGUCACCGCGCAGCCGCGACUGCCGCCGCUACCCUUCCUGCCUCGUCGGAGGUCCCUCUCCCGCCGGAGCAGGCGGCGCUGCACCAGGACGGCGACCCCGCCGACACACCUGGGUUGCUGACGGCGUUGGCGCAGUCGGCAGAGGAGACCGUGCGGGCUGCUGCGGAGGAGGCCUUGGACGAAGCACUGGCCGUGGCGGCAGUGCAGCAGGUCGUGGCGCUGGAGGCGGUGGCGAAGGAGGACGACUGGCUUCUGAGCAACAGCGACGACGACACUGACGGCGGCGGCGACACGGCGGUUAUGGACCUCACAGAAGAGGAUUAGAUUAGGUUUUUUUACAAAUUACCUUUCGGAUCGAUGUAAUAUAUCCUAAAAAUGAAUGGAAUUUGAAUUGUUCCUUUAUAAUUUGCUUUAUACAUUACACCCACGGCUCUUUGCUGGGUCCCACAAGCCACGAGAGCAAUGGUCUGAUCACGUAGCACGUCUGUGCCACCUGAUCCCAUCUGUAAGGGCUGAGUCAAAACGUUGACCUGACGGAGACGGCGGUGUUCACGGAAUGAGUCGGUGCGGACAAACUAGGGGCAAAAACUGAGCAUGAUUCAUAACCGAGGGAAAAACUUAGCACAGAGACACCACUGAGGGCAAAAAGAUAAUUAGCCCUUUUUGAUUUGACGGAAUUUUACUAGCAAAAAUGCCUGUGCAUUGAACUGAUAUAAAAAAUAGCAUAUAUCUCUAAAUAAUAAGCAUUGCAAGACAUUUACAUGUGCACGCCCUUUGUUUAAACAUGACAUACAAUGGAUCUAUUGAGGGUAGUUUUUUCCAAGAUGUUAUUUUAAAACAUGAGAUGUAGUCCCGAACCAACUUAGCUGAACGUAUUAUAUCAUCCCAAAACUUAAUCAAAUGUACCUAAUGCCACGAGCUAAAUUUAAAAGUAAAUUAAAAGAAAUAAUAUUGCAAACAAAUUUAAAGUAAGUUGCUGAGCAAAUAAAUCUGGAGUAACACUCACUACAAGCAAAACAUGCUUGUUUGGGGUUAGGCGUGAUUGGGAAUGAUACCUUGUCAACACCUUUCCUUCCAAUCGUGACGUCUUGUGCGAACUUCAAACCCUAGCUCCCUAACUCCAACACUCAUCCUUUCUGGUCCCAUAUCAUUCAUAGUCAGCCUACCACCAAUGCUUAUACCCUAGCUCUCUAACUCCAACACUCAUCCUUUCUGGUCCCAUAUCAUUCGUUGCCAGCCUACCAUCAAUGCUUAUGUGAUUGUAGUACGAGAAACUUUGACGUGUAUCCAUAACUAUACCAUGCAAAACACUCCAUGGUUCACUAAAAUUAUAUGUGCAAAAUAUACCGUGUGUAGCAAUUGUCAUUAUUAAAUAAAUUUGAGUUUGUGUGGUAUUUGAGAGUUUACCUGUCGUAGUUGCCACUCAGUUGGCUUUUUACACCCUUAUCUUCCUUUUGGUAUUAAAUCGCUGGGUUGCGUCGCUAAUCCGUGAAAACACAAAAUUAUACUACUCCAUCCGUCACGGUUUAGAAGGCGCGGUUCCGUUUACAUGCAUUUUCAUGAUAAAAAAGGAUUAAGGCGUAUGACAUUUACCGCUUGGUUAAUUAGGAGUACUAGUAGGUUGCAUGCAUAAUGAAAAUGUUGGGUGUGCACGCAGAAUGGAAAGGCUUCAUGCACGAGGACUCCUCGUUUAGUGGUUGUGUGAGUUACUCUGCAUUAUCUUCUGAAAUAAUUAGGCGUCGUGGGUUGUUUUGUGAAUACUUGCAAAGAGUCAAUCACGAUUCACCUUGGUUCAAGAGAUUGCUCAUGCGUCUUCUAAACUGUGAUGGAGGGAGUAUUUAAAUAUGUAACAUUUGGCUUAUAAAGUUUUCAUCUGGUUAUCGAUCAAAUAUAUGCAUUUCAUAGAUACACAAAGAGUGGUCAAAAUUUUAUUGUAGAAUUCGGAUUGAAAUAAACUUCUUUUGUUUUUCAAAAAGAAAUAAUCUCCUUUCCAAUUGGGGAAUUACAUGUGCACAUGAUGGUCAAUGGAAACAAUAUUUGUGUAAAUCUAUCCAAUACCAAAUCAAUGAAAUGCACGAUGCAAUUUCAAAGAAGAAAAUNNNNNNNNNNNNNNNNNNNNNNNNNNNNNNNNNNNNNNNNNNNNNNNNNNNNNNNNNNNNNNNNNNNNNNNNNNNNNNNNNNNNNNNNNNNNNNNNNNNNNNNNNNNNNNNNNNNNNNNNNNNNNNNNNNNNNNNNNNNNNNNNNNNNNNNNNNNNNNNNNNNNNNNNNNNNNNNNNNNNNNNNAUUUUCUUCUUUGAAAUGCUAUUAGGAAAAUCAUCACCAUGUCCAAGAUUUUAAUUUCGGAAACAAAAUUUUCCGGACCUCACCAAAACCUGCGAAAUUUGGAAAAUACACAUAUUUUGAAUUUGGGAUUUCAAACUACACUUCAUUUUAAUGAAAGCAGACAAUGAUUUGUAUAUUAGUAAUUGAGAGAGCAAUAUAUCUGCAUGGAAAACAGAUUGAAUUGGACAUCUGCUUGACACCUCGAUAAUGUGUGCGUCAAAUGAUUCAGUAAAAUAAAUAAAUUAUAUUAACAUCAAUUUGCUUGUUUAUAGCAGAGUAGUACCUGCAUACAUCAAGGAGAGCUCUUAGUCAUUGAUCUCAAGUGUGUAAGGACCCCGAGGGUCGCUCUUGGAUGUACAUAUAAGUGAAUUAUACAUCACAUUUUUAUUAGCCCAUGGAAAAUAAGAACAAAAUUUUCUGCUCUAAGCAACUUGGCCGAAAUAGAACAAUGUGUGUGUACCAUGGCAGGGAAAGUAGUUACUAAGGGCAUCUACAACCGGACUGGGAAAAUUCAGCCCCCUAUACAUCCGCGGAGGCGUCCGGGCAUGUCCACAGACGCAUCCGGACGGCCCCGCAUAUGUCGCUUCUUGUAUCCACAUAUCUUAUAUCCGGACUCUCAAAUUCAUGCAAACCCAUACACGUCAAUCACACAAAUUAAUGUCACACGUAAAUAAUAAAUGUUGGUAUCAUACGUAAUAGGGUUUACAUCAAAUUUAUUAGAAGGGUACAUUCAAUCAUCCCCUCUUUGAUUUUCAUUGUGGAUCCACAUAUGCUCCACCAGAUCAUUGAGUAGUUGCGCGUGCACCUGAUGAUUUUGGAGAUUCUGAUGCAUCCGCAGAAAGUUCAUAAGCUGAACUACAUCUUGAUCUUCCGGGAUUUCAACUUGUUCUCAAGGUGCUUCAAAAUCAUUGGGUUGAGCUACACCAUCACCCUGAUCCUCGACGAUCAUAUUAUGCAAAAUAACACAUGUCAUCAGCUGUCGCAAAGUUUCUGAUUUCCACAUCAAUGCAGCCCCACUGACAAUUCCCCAAUGCGCUUGUAGCACUCCCAAUGCCAUUAUCCAUAUCCUUCCUAGCUGCUUCCUGCAUUAUUGCAAAGUGCUUUUGUUUCUUGCCAUGUGGUUCAGAUAUGGUCUUCACAAAUGCAGCCAACUGAGGAUAUAUGCCAUCGGCAAGAUAGCAUCCCAUGAUGUAGUCUCGGUCGUUGAUGAUGUAGUUGCACAGAGGUGAUUCCCCAUUGCAAAGCCUCCUGAACACCGGAGAUCGUUUAAGCAUGUUGAUGUCGUUGUGAGAACCCGACAUUCCAAAGAAAGCAUGUCAAAUCUAUUAGUCAUGUGAUACCACUGCUUCAGUAUGAUGGUGGGCUCUUUGAUGUGACUUGAAGCAUUCCUCACAAAUAUUUGGGGAAGUUCUUCCAUUGCCAAUGCAUGCAAUCAAUUGAUCCAAGCAUUCUUGGAAACCCUCUGGCCUCUCCAAUAGCAAACAACUUCUUAGUGUCCUGCACAUUUGAUUCCGUCAGAUACUCUGCUCCAAACACCUCAACCACAACACGAGCAAACUUGAUAGUAGUCUUUAGGCAUGUGCUCUCCCCCAUCCUCACCUUCUUACCAGUGGCAUCUGUCGCAGUACGAAGUGCAAGCAUUCUCAGAGCAACCGUGCACUUUUGUUUUGCACAGAAAGAGAGUUUUCCGCACAAAUCCCUUGUGACCUUGAGGUAGUCAUCGUGUGCCUCCACUUCCCCCACAAUGCGCAAAAAAUGUUUUUCGCAUGCGAAAACAACAAUGAAACCAUGGAUCAUCCGGGAAAGUUGGGUUCAGAGCAAAGUAAUCCUUCUGCAUUAGCUUUGCUCUGGAUACCCUGACACGAUUGAUCACUCUUCUCCCUUUGAUUGAGCCCUUAAAAUUGAGAAUAUGCUCCACCUGUUGGUUCAUUUCCUCUUGCAUGGCCAUGAGCAUGAUCAUGUCCACUUCUUUGUCUGAAUUCGAUGAAUCAAAGAACUCAUGUUCAAUCAGUUGAUCAAGCUUNNNNNNNNNNNNNNNNNNNNNNNNNNNNNNNNNNNNNNNNNNNNNNNNNNNNNNNNNNNNNNNNNNNNNNNNNNNNNNNNNNNNNNNNNNNNNNNNNNNNAAUAAUAAAUUAGUUAUUAUUAUAUUUCUUAGUUCAUGAUAAUUGUUUAUUAUCCAUGCUAUAAUUGUAUUGAUUGGAAACACAGUGCAUGUGUGGAUACAUAGACAAAAACACUGUCCCUAGUAAGCCUCUAGUUGACUAGCUCGUUGAUCAAAGAUGGUCAAGGUUUCCUGGCCAUAGGCAAGUGUUGUCACUUGAUAACGGGAUCACAUCAUUAGGAGAAUCAUGUGAUGGACUAGACCCAAACUAAUAGACGUAGCAUGUUGAUCGUGUCAUUUUGUUGCUACUGUUUUCUGCGUGUCAAGUAUUUGUUCCUAUGACCAUGAGAUCAUAUAACUCACGGACACCGGAGGAAUGCUUUGUGUGUAUCAAACGUCGCAACGUAACUGGGUGACUAUAAAGAUGCUCUACAGGUAUCUCCGAAGGUGUUCGUUGAGUUAGUAUGGAUCGAGACUGGGAUUUGUCACUCCGUGUGACGGAGAGGUAUCUCGGGGCCCACUCGGUAAUACAACAUCACACACAAGCCUUGCAAGCAAUGUGACUUAGUGUAAGUUGCGGGAUCUUGUAUUACAGAACGAGUAAAGAGACUUGCCGGUAAACGAGAUUGAAAUAGGUAUGCGGAUACUGACGAUCGAAUCUCGGGCAAGUAACAUACCGAAGGACAAAGGGAAUGACAUACGGGAUUAUAUGAAUCCUUGGCACUGAGGUUCAAACGAUAAGAUCUUCGUAGAAUAUGUAGGAUCCAAUAUGGGCAUCCAGGUCCCGCUAUUGGAUAUUGACCGAGGUGUCUCUCGGGUCAUGUCUACAUAGUUCUCGAACCCGCAGGGUCUGCACACUUAAGGUUCGACGUUGUUUUAUGCAUAUUUGAGUUAUAUGGUUGGUUACCGAAUGUUGUUCGGAGUCCCGGAUGAGAUCACGGACNNNNNNNNNNNNNNNNNNNNNNNNNNNNNNNNNNNNNNNNNNNNNNNNNNNNNNNNNNNNNNNNNNNNNNNNNNNNNNNNNNNNNNNNNNNNNNNNNNNNUUGUUGCUACUGUUUUCUGCGUGUCAAGUAUUUGUUCCUAUGACCAUGAGAUCAUAUAACUCACGGACACCGGAGGAAUGCUUUGUGUGUAUCAAACGUCGCAACGUAACUGGGUGACUAUAAAGAUGCUCUACAGGUAUCUCCGAAGGUGUUCGUUGAGUUAGUAUGGAUCGAGACUGGGAUUUGUCACUCCGUGUGACGGAGAGGUAUCUCGGGGCCCACUCGGUAAUACAACAUCACACACAAGCCUUGCAAGCAAUGUGACUUAGUGUAAGUUGCGGGAUCUUGUAUUACGGAACGAGUAAAGAGACUUGCCGGUAAACGAGAUUGAAAUAGGUAUGCGGAUACUGACGAUUGAAUCUCGGGCAAGUAACAUACCGAAGGACAAAGGGAAUGACAUACGGGAUUAUAUGAAUCCUUGGCACUGAGGCUCAAAUGAUAAGAUCUUCGUAGAAUAUGUGGGAUCCAAUAUGGGCAUCCAGGUCCCGCUAUUGGAUAUUGACCGAGGAGUCACUCGGGUCAUGUCUGCAUAGUUCUCGAACCCGCAGGGUCUACACACUUAAGGUUCGNNNNNNNNNNNNNNNNNNNNNNNNNNNNNNNNNNNNNNNNNNNNNNNNNNNNNNNNNNNNNNNNNNNNNNNNNNNNNNNNNNNNNNNNNNNNNNNNNNNNACUUUUGGUGCACACUCGGAGCAAGUUGUUUACUUAGGCGACUCUUGGUCGCAGCUAAGUCCCUGAGUGUGACUUUUGGUGCACACUCGGAGCAAGUUGUUUACUUAGGCGACUCUGAUUCGCAGCUAAGUCCCCGNNNNNNNNNNNNNNNNNNNNNNNNNNNNNNNNNNNNNNNNNNNNNNNNNNNNNNNNNNNNNNNNNNNNNNNNNNNNNNNNNNNNNNNNNNNNNNNNNNNNNNNNNNNNNNNNNNNNNNNNNNNNNNNNNNNNNNNNNNNNNNNNNNNNNNNNNNNNNNNNNNNNNNNNNNNNNNNNNNNNNNNNNNNNNNNNNNNNNNNNNNNNNNNNNNNNNNNNNNNNNNNNNNNNNNNNNNNNNNNNNNNNNNNNNNNNNNNNNNNNNNNNNNNNNNNNNNNNNNNNNNNNNNNNNNNNNNNNNNNNNNNNNNNNNNNNNNNNNNNNNNNNNNNNNNNNNNNNNNNNNNNNNNNNNNNNNNNNNNNNNNNNNNNNNNNNNNNNNNNNNNNNNNNNNNNNNNNNNNNNNNNNNNNNNNNNNNNNNNNNNNNNNNNNNNNNNNNNNNNNNNNNNNNNNNNNNNNNNNNNNNNNNNNNNNNNNNNNNNNNNNNNNNNNNNNNNNNNNNNNNNNNNNNNNNNNNNNNNNNNNNNNNNNNNNNNNNNNNNNNNNNNNNNNNNNNNNNNGGCGACUCUGGGUCGCAACUAAUUCUCCGAGUGUGACUUUUGGUGCACACUCGGAGUUAGUUUUUUAGACCGGAGUCUGCAAACGCGGAAGAAUUUUGAAUCGGCAAGAAAUUAAUCCGCUUUGUAUUACUUCGGUGACAUUUGUUCUUUACAUUGUCUUUAUCGGCGAUUAUGUGUAGAAGCGCUUCAGUAGAUCUCCAUUCCAUGCCCGCGGCUCGUCCGUCUCCCUGUCGAGGUUGUAGAGUCGAUACGCUCCAUUGUUCAGCACCUUAGAAAUGAUGAACAGUCCUUCCCAGGCGGGAGCCAACUUGUGUGGCCUCUGUUGAUCCACUCGGAGCACCGGGUCGCCUGCUUGGAACGUGCGGCUCCUAACGUGCCGCGCAUGAAAUCGCCGCAGAUCUUGCUGAUAAAUUGUUGAACGGAUCAAUGCCAUCUCGCGCUCCUCUUCUAAAAGGUCUACUCCGUCUUGCCUCGCUUGCUCUGCUUCGGCUUCGGAGAAGAGUUCGACUCGUGGGGAGUUGUGAAGCAAGUCACUCGGAAGGACUGCCUCUGCUCCAUAAACGAGGAAAAACGGGGAUCGUCCUGUCGAUCUAUUCGGAGUUGUUCGGAGGCCCCACAGCACCGAAGGCAGCUCGGUGACCCAUGCGCCGGCGGCAUGUCCAACUUCCCGCAGGAGUCGAGGCUUCAACCCUUGAAGAAUGAGUCCAUUCGCCCGCUCCGCUUGUCCAUUUGUUUGGGGGUGAACAACGGAUGCAAAAUCCACUUGGAUACCUUGGCAUGCACAAAAACCUUUGAACUCGUCCGAGUCAAAGUUUGUGCCAUUGUCGGUGAUUAUGCUGUGUGGAACCCCGUAUCUGGCGAUGAUGUCUAUGAUAAAUUUGAUGGCCGUAAGGGCAUCAAGCUUCUUGAUUGGCUUGGCUUCAAUCCACUUGGUAAACUUGUCGACUGCUACCAGCGGAUGGGUGAAUCCUCCUUGGCCUGUUCUGAAUGGUCCGACUGUAUCUAAUCCCCACACGACGAAUGGCCGAGAAAGGGGAAUUGUCUUCAGCGCGGACGUUGGCUUGUGGGACUUGUUUGGAUAGAACUGACAGCCUUCGCAAUGGUCGACUAUAUCUUUUGCCAUUUCAUUCGCCUGCAACCAGAAGAAACCAGCUCUGAAUGCUUUGGCGGUGAUUGCCCUUGAGGAGGCAUGAUGGCCGCAGGUUCCCGAGUGAAUCUCUUCCAAAAUUAACCAACCCUCCUCAGGAGAGAUACACACUGAAGGACGCCUGAAACACUUUCUCUGUAUAACUGGUCAUCAACGACGGUGAAGGACUUCGACCUGCGAACGAUCUGCCUAGCUUGGACCUCGUCUUCCGUAACUCUUGCCUCAGGAUGUACGCAAUGAAUGGCAUAGUCCAUUCGGGAAUGACAGCUAGAAUCUCCAUGACCAGGUCAACCACAGCGGGAACCUCGACUUCAGUCUGAUCUGUUGAGCUCUUCGGUUGCACGGGUUCCUCUGUAAAAGAAUCUUCUUUUACUGAGGGGAGGCGUAGGUGCUCGAGGCAGACAUCACUCGGGACAGGUCUCCGUGUGGAUCCAAGUUUUGCCAAUUCAUCUGCAAAUUGGUUUUUCAGUCGGGGAACAUGGUGAAGUUCCAGACCUUCAAACUUCUUUUCGAGCUUUCUUAUUGCAUUGCAGUAUGUAGUCAUGGUGGGGUUCCUUACAUCCCACUCCUUCAUUACUUGAUUAACCACUAGAUCUGAGUCGCCAUAGACCAUCAGGCGACGGACGCCGAGUGUGAUGGCCAUGCGCAACCCGUAAAGGAGAAUUUCGUACUCUGCUUCGUUGUUGGAAGAAUCAAAACGGAUAUGCAACACAUACUUGAGUUUAUCACCUUUCGGGGAUAUGAGCACUACGCCGGCGCCGGAGCCAUUCAACAUCUUUGACCCAUCGAAGAACAUGGUCCAAUGAGCCGAGUAGAUGUGAGUCAGUUGUUGUUGUUCUACCCAUUCUGCUAUGAAGUCAGCAAGAGCUUGAGACUUUAUAGCUUUCUUGGCUUCGAACUUGAUGUCGCAGUAUAGCAUCUCCAUUGCCCACUUUGCCACUUGGCCUGAUGCGUCCCAAUUGUGGAGCAUUUCCGACAAUGGAGCAUCAGAUAUGACAGAUACCGAGUGGUCUUGGAAAUAAUGAGCCACCUUCUUUGCAGUCAUGUAGAUCCCAUAAAUAAGCUUCUGAUAAUGGGGAUACCUCUGCUUGGAAGGAGUCAGGACUUCGGAAACAUAAUAUACUGGCCGCCGAACCUUGUACGCUUUGCCUUCUUCUUCGCGUUCGACUAUCAGAACGGUGCUGACGACUUGAUUUGUAGCCACGAUGUACAGAAGAAGGGGUUCUUUACUGAGCGGGGCAGUAAGAACCGACUGGGUGGAAAGCAGGGCUUUGAGGUCGUCGAAUGCGGUUUGGGCUUCGUCUGUCCACUCGAAGGUAUCUGACUUCUUCAUGAGUCGGUACAGAGGUAACGCCUUCUCGCCGAGUCGAGCGACAAACCUGCUCAAAGACGCUAGGCAACCUGUGAGCUUUUGUAGGUCAUGUACUCUUACCGGCCGCUCCAUUCAAACAAUGGUCCCGAUCUUUUCGGGGUUGACAUCGAUCCCUCGUUCGGAAACGAAGAAACCGAGUAACUUCCCGCUGGGAACGCCGAAUGAACACUUGGCUGGGUUGAGCUUGAUAUCAUACCUACGUAGGUUGGCGAAUGUUUCUGCCGUCAUUCAGCAGGUCGGAACCUUUGCGUGACUUGACUACGAUAUCGUCCAUAUAUGCCUCCACAUUUCGACCAAUCUGGUCUAGGAGGCAUUUUUGGAUCAUUCGCAUAAAAGUUGCUCCUUAUUAAGGUGCUUGAAAUCGAUGCACAUACGGAGAGACUUGUCCUUCUUGGGCACCAUGACAACAUUAGCGAGCCACUCGGAGUGGUGUACCUCGCGAAUGAAGUUGGCUGCCAAAAGUUUAGCUACCUCCUCUUCGAUUGCUUUUCUCUUGUGCGCGGCGGACCGACGCGGGCGUUCUCGGACGGGCCGAGCAGCAGGAUCCACAUGCAGUCGGUGCUCAGCCAACUCCCUGGGUACACCUGGCAUGUCAGCAGGCUUCCAUGCAAUAAUGUCCCAGUUCUCACGGAGGAAUUGGAUGAGCUCGGCUUCCUAUUUUGGAUCAAGGGUGGUGGAGAUGUUUGUUGGGGCGGCGGUGGCAUCCGUCGGGUGGAUUCUUACUUUGUUCGUGUCUCCCGCCGACUGGAAUGCAGACUCGGAAGCUGGCUUUUUUGAACGCAUCAGGUCGGCGGGGUCGGCAAUCUUCUUGUACUCAUCCAACUCGAGUACAGCCAUCUGAUGGUCUGCAAUUCUCGACCCCUGUUGCAGACACUCCUCGGCCCGCUGCCGAUUGCCUGUGAUAGUAAUCACGCCUUUGGGACCAGGCAUCUUCAGCUUCAAAUAUAUGUAACAUGGACGGGCCAUGAAACGUACGUAUGCCGGAUGGCCCGGAAUGGCAUGGUAUGCACUCUGGAAGUCUACCACCUCGAAUGUUAACUUCUCUUUGCCGAAGUUCUUGUCAGAGCCGAAAAUGACAUCCAACGCAAUCUGGCCAAGUGAUUUGGCCUUUCUUCCUGGGACGACUCCAUGGAAGUGCAUACUGCUCUCGCUAAGUCUGGACAUCGGAAUGCCCAUUCCCUUGAGAGUAUCUGCGUAGAUGAUAUUCAAGCCGCUGCCGCCGUCCAUGAGGACUUUGCGCAGCCUAACUCCUUCCACCACCGGGUCGAGGACCAUAGCUUGCCUCCUUGGGGUGGGUACGUGUGUUGGGUGGUCUGACUUAUCAAAAGUGAUUGCAGUCUGUGACCACUUGAGGAACGCGGGACUGGAUGGGGUUGCCAUGUUUACCUCCCUGUUGACCAGCUUCAGUCGACUUUUGCUUUCUACAUCAGCAAAAAUCAUUAACGUUGCAUGGACUUGAGGGAACGGAUCCCCCUUGUCCUCAUCAUCUUGCUCGGUGUCUUUCUCACUCGGUUGUCCUUCAUCGAAUCCUUGGAUCAGGAGGCGACACUGCCGAGUGUUAUGUUUCAGCAAUAUGACAUUGCCUUCUUCAUCCGUCUUCGUGUGGAUUGGACACGGUUGAUCUAGGAUGGAAUUUCUUGACUGUUUCUUCUUGGGGGUGUACUGUGGUUUCCCCUUGCCUUUGGACUUAGCAUUUGUAACGGCUGCCGCCUCUGCUUGCGGAGUGGAUUGGGCUUUCUGUUUUUGCUUCCGACUGCUGCUCCCAUCUCCGUCGGCGACUGACUUAUGCUUGUCGCUACGUAUGCGGUCCUCCUCUUCGCCAUUCGCAUAGCACGCGGCUAUCUCCAUCAUCUUGCUCAUGCAGAUGUCGCCUGUCCGACCAAACUUCAGGUAUAGAUCUCUGUACCGAACGCGUGCCUUGAAGGCAUAGACUGCUUGGUGUUCUGUAACAUUCUCCACCGUGUGGUAGAGGGUUGUCCAGCGCUGGAUGAAAUCGCGCAAGGGCUCGUUUUGCUUCUGGACACAGUGCUGAAGCUAUGUGAGACCAGCAGGGCGUUUGCACGUACCCUCGAAGGUCCUGAUGAAGACUCGGGACAGAUCUGCACAACUGUAAAUGCUUGAUGGAGCUAACUGGUUUAGCCAAGCUCGAGCCGAACCGUCGAGCAUCAGUGGGAGAUGUUUCAUCGCGACAUGGUCAUGUCUGCCACCGAUCUGGACCGCCACUCUGUAGUCGUCUAACCAAGUUUCUGGUUUGGACUCUCCUGUGAAUUUCCUGAUUUCCGUCGCCAAUCGGAAGUCGGGAGGGAUGUCAGCCGAGCGAAUGGCCCGACUGAAACACUCAGGACCAGAAACAACGGUCCUGCUUCCACUCGGAUGAUCUCUAUCGUGACCAUCACGGUGGGCUCGGCUUCUAUCAACCUUCUUCUGAGUGAUAUACCCCCUUGCAUCAGGCCUUUGAUCAUGCGCGUCACCGCCUGAACGAUGAUGAUCGUAAUGCCGAGGUCCAUAAGGCCCACUCCACGGAGGAGUACGCGAACGGCGGCGAUCUUCGGGAUGAGACCGAAUGGAAAGCGGAUUCCGACUCUGGUCCCUGGAACGAUCGUUCCACAGGUUGCCCCCUCUGCGACGCUGGUGAGAGCCGGGACUGAAAACCGACCGAUGUGUGUUCGCUUGAAUGGAACUGUUGUGGAUCUUGUUGUGCGACUGGGAGACCGCCGAGUUUUGCUGCUGCGCCGUAUGUAACAAGGCACGGAUCUGCUCGAUUCCUCUACCAGCCUCCGAAUCAGUCGGCUGGAGAGAAUCAGCAAUCCUGGUGGCUGCAGCCAAGUUGAGGAUGGGUGUGCGGAACACCUCGACGUUGCUCUGGCGAGCGCGUCGACUAGAAGAACGAGGGUGCUGACGACGAGCGCCGGAUGAUUCUCCGGUCUCACGCUUGUUCCGACCAGUCCCGGAGGGACUUUCGUUGGAAUCGGCCAUGAGUACUUCGGCUGCAGGCCCGUGACCCUCAUACUCGAAAGGUAGUUCAGUCGGAACUGACUCCAAGCACUGGGAUGACCGCGGGACCACAACCGAUUCGAGCACCGCCACUUGAGAGGACAUGUUUUGUCGCGCUAGGACGUGUCGCACCCAACGCUGGAGCCGCGAACGACCGGAUCGCUUGUUGCGGCGCGUGACGGGGGCGAAGAUCGACACCGGGGUCGAUGGGUGGAGAAGAAGAACGCCGCAGGAACUGGCACGGAAGUGCGUAGCCCCACGACUCGGAAGCGUCUCGAUGUCGAGGGGCGCAUCCUGAAGCCAUGCCGAAUCAUCGGCGAUGAAGGAGAGUGCACCGAAGAGGACUCUUGACCCAUCCACGGAUCUCCGCCGGAUGACAUGACGAAAAGAUGAAAUCGCAAACUCGCCGGAAGUCGCUUAGACCCCACGGGGGGCGCCAACUGUCGUGGGUAUAAGUCUGACAGUAGAAGUACGAGGUACGAAAGUAUAUGGGCAGAGCCUUAGCUACAGCGAGGAUAUAUGAGUUCAGGCCCCUCUACGGUGGAGGUAAAAGCCCUACGUCUCAGCGCUCUUGGGAGCUUUGUGUCGAGUGUAUUAAGGGAUUACAGCAAGUGCCGGAGCACUGAGACGUAGGGCUUUUAAGGGAUUACAGCAAGUGCCAACCCCUGUACCAGUGGUGAAGGGCGGCUUAUAUAGAGUGCACUGCCCUUCAUAAUGGUCUGGUGGACAGGGGUGGAGUAGUGGCGAGUAAAUGCUGGCGUUACUGGUAACGUAAGCCUUAAAUGCUAGUUAUGGUGUAUGAAAACGUAUGACCGUUGCCCUCCUGGGAGGUUACGGUGUACAGAGUGUGAAAGGACGUGGAUGUCGCCUAGAGGGGGGUGAAUAGGCGCUUUAAAAUAAUUAAGGUUUAGGCUUGAACAAAUGCGGAAUAAAACUAACGUUUAAUAUGUCAAGCACAAAACCUACAGACAACUAGGCUCACCUAUGUGCACCAACAACUUAUGCUAAGCAAGAUAAACAACUAAGUGAUAGCAAGAUAUAUUACAAUAAACAAUAUGUCUAUCACAAAGUAAAGUGCAUAAGUAAAGGGUUCGGGUAAGAGAUAAUCGAGGCACGGGGAGACGAUGAUGUAUCACGAAGUUCACACCCUUGCGGAUGCUAAUCUCCGUUAGAGUGGUGUGAAGGCACAAUGCUCCCCAAGAUGCCACUAAGGCCACCGUAAUCUCCUCACGCCCUCGCACAAUGCAAGAUGUCGUGAUUCCACUAAGGGACCCUUGAGGGCGGUCACCGAAUCCAUACAAAUGGCAAACCUUGGGGGCGGUCACCGAACCCGUACACGUGGCAACCCUUGGGGGCGGUUACCGGUACCCGUACAAAUUGCUCGGGGCUAUCUCCACAACCUAAUUGGAGGCCCCGACGCUUGCCCGGAGCUUCACACCACAAUGAUUGACCUCCGAGACACCACCAAGCUUCUAGGAUGCCAAAGCAUCCACGAAGAACAAUAUCUAGGGUACUAAGUACCAAAGGUAGUAAGCUUCUCAACUUCUCACUUCCACGUAUCACCGUGGAGAACUCAAACCGAUGCAACUGAUGCAAUGGCAAGAACACACGAAGUGGUCAAGUCCCUCACACUCAAAUCCCUCCACAACAACAAAAGCUAUGGAGAAAUAUGAGAGGAAGAACAAGGAGCUCACAAAGAACUCCAAGAUCAAGAUCCAAGGGGUUCCCCUCACAUAGAGGAGAAAGUGAUUGGUGGAUAUGUGGAUCUAGAUCUCCUCUCUCUUCUCCCUCAAGAACAAGCAAGAAUCAUUGGAGGGAUUGAGAGUAAGCAAGCUCUAAGAAUGUCAACAAUGGAGGUAGAACAAGAGCUCAACGGAUGGAUAAGGCCAAGGGGGAAGAAGACCCCCUUUAUAUACUGGGGGAAGGAAUCAGACCGUUAUCCCCACUCUCUGCCCGAGCUCCAGCGGUACUACCGUUGGCUGCAGCGGUACUACCGCCAGCUAGCGGUACUACCGCUGGCUGCAGCGGUGCCACCGCUCGCACUCCAGCGGUACUACAGCUGGGCCCCUGGUAGUGCAAAGGCACUACCACCGCCAAGAAAGUCUUCGCAAAAAGGUCCGUCCACGAACAACCGCUAGGCAGGCGGUACUAAGCUCCUGGAGCGGUACUACCGUUGACCAGUGGCGGUACUACCGCCAGCCAGUGGUACUACCGCUAGGGCCAGCGGUACUACCGCCAACUCUAGCGGUACUACCGCUAGGUCCAGCGGUACUACCGCUAGGUCCAGCGGUACUACCGCUCGCCAGUGAAACAGCCAUAACUUUCGCAUACGAGCUCCGAAUCGAGCAAACCCAAGCUUGUUGGAUUCAGGACGACAAGAGUUAUCCAAACAUCAAAAAUGCAGAUAUGAAAAUGCCAAUGAUAUAGAGAUGUGAGAUCUCUAUGAAUGAAAAACCGGCAAAAACUCCAACAUCGAAAACAUCAUAGUAGAUGCAUAUGGACUCCGUUUUCAAUGGACUCGAGCUUGUCAUGAAGAUGACCAUAAGCUCUAAAACUCGCAAAGAGAAACGCCAAACAAGAACCAAGAAGUAUGAUGCGAGGAUGCAAAUGGUUUGAGCUCUCAACGAACGAUACGAUCAAGCUACUCACUUGAGAGCCCCCCUUGAUAGUACAGCAAUCUAUCCUAACCAGAAAACCUAUCAAGGGCAAACCUAUACCUUGCACCUCGCCCUCUUGAGCUAGAUGAUGAUGAUCUUGGCUUCCUCAAGAUGGACCACCUUUCUUGAUUGCGUUGGCUUGAUGAAGACUAGUUGAUUGCUCCCCCAUACUCACUAUGGGUGAGCCACUCUUCAACAUAUCUUCACAAGUCCAUUGCCACCACAAUGGACGGCAAGCUUCAAGCAUGAUAUCUUCAUGCUGAUCCACUUGAACUUGCACAUCGCAAUCUUGAUGACGAUCACAACUUGACGUCAUACUUCAUGGGUUGUAUGAGAUCUUCCCUUUGAUGCAAGCCCAUGGAAACACACCUAACCCCCACAUAGAACUCUCACGAGGACCAUGGGUUAGUACACAAACACGUAAUGGACAAUGCUUACCAUACCAUGGGAUCACUUGAUCCCUCUCGGUACAUCUUGUACGCUUUGUGUGUUGAUCAUCUUGAUUUACUCUUUGUCUGAGAUCUUGAUCAACCAUGUGUCUCUAUGACCAUUCUUUGGAUAAUACCUUGAAUACCACCUUGGUCAUCAUAUGAACUCCUUGAACCCAACAGAUGGACUUCAAGAAGUGCCUAUGGACAAAUCCUAUAGAUAUAACUUAAGGCAACCAUUAGUCCAUAAGAAUUGUCAUCAAUUACCAAAACCACAUAUGGAGAUAUAUGCUCUAACAGAGUGGAUUCCAGUCGGCACGUUAGAUAUGCUCCGAGUGGACCGUCGCCGACUGGAUGAUGGGGGCGUCCUUAGUUCAGUCGGAACUGUCUAAGGGCCUUGUCCCCUAUGAAGGGUAGUCCUUGGGUAGGACCUAUAGGGCAGACCUAUGACCCUACCCUGGGACUAUAACCCCAUCAAGGGACGCAAUGCAUCGGACUUACCCAAUCACUAUGAGCAACAAGAUAUAUAAUACCUGCUUCCAGGAGCUUUAGUAUUUCUUUUCUUACUGCCUCUUUCAUCUUAGGAUUUAAUCUCCGUUGAUGAUCGGCAACUGGUUUGGAAUCAGGAUCGGUUUUAAUUUUAUGUUGGCAUAGAGUGGGACUAAUGCCCUUAAGAUCAUCAAGAGUAUAUCCAAUAGUAGCGGUGCUUCCUCAGAGUUUUCAAUAAUUUCUUUUCUUCAUGCUCCGAAAGGCUAGCACUAAUAAUAACAGGAUAUAUCUCUUUUUCAUCAAGAUAAGCAUACUUAAUAGUAUCAGGUAACUGCUUAAGCUCAAACACAGGAUCACCCUUUGGUGGGGGUGGAUCUCCAAGCAGUUCAACACGCAAAUUAUUCUGAAGGAUAGGAUGUUGUUCAAACAUAACUCUAUCUAUCUCAUUCCUUUCAUCCAUAUGCAUAUCAUUUUCAUGCUCAAGCAAGUAUUGCUCUAAAGGAUCAAUAGGAGGCACAGCAAUAGAAGCUAGGGAAAUAAUUUCAUCCUUACUAGACAAUUAUUUUUUAUGAGUUUGUCUACCAAACUUGGAGAAAUUGAAUUCAUGUGACACACCUUCAAAGCCAACAGUGACAGUUUGCUUCUCACAGUCAAUAUGAGCAUUGACAGUGUUGAGGAAAGGUCUGCCAAAUAUGAUGGGACAAAAGCUAUCUUGUGUUUUAGCAAGAACGAGAAAAUCAGCAGGAUACUUAGUUUUACCACACAAGACUUCAACAUCUCUAACAAUUCCCAAAGGCCAGAUAGUAUCUCUAUUGGCAAGUUGAAUAGUAACAUCAAUAGGUUCCAUCUCGACAGGUGCAAUCUCGUCUUUAAUUUCAUCAUAUAAAGAUCAAGGUAUUACACUAACACUAGCACCCACGUCACAUAAACCAUGAUAACAAUGAUCUCCUAUCUUAGCAGAAACAACAGGCAUGCCAACAACAGGCCUAUGUUUGUCUCUAGCAUGAGGUUUAGCAAUUCUAGCAGCAUCUUCACAGAAGUGAAUAUCAUGCCCAUCAACAUUGUCGGACAUGAGAUCUUUGAUAAUAGCAAUGCUAGGUUCAACUUUAAUUUGAUCAGGGGGUGUAGGUGUUCUAAUGUAGCCCUUACGUAUCACAGUUGGAGCUUUAGCAUGAUCCUUUAUUCUAACAAGGAAAGGUGGUUUCUCAAUGUAAGCACUAGGAACAAUAGGAUCAUUAUAAGCAAUGACUUUCUCUUCAACUGGAUUGGGUUUAACUACAUUGACUUCUAUGGGAGGAUGAUAUUUAAAUCACUUCUCUUUAGAGAGAUUAAUAUGAGAAGCAAAAGAUUCACAUAAUGAAGCUACUAUCUCAGAGUCAAGUCCAUGUUUAGCGCUAAAAUCACAAAAGGUAUUUGUUUCAACGAAGGAUUUAACGCAAUCGAACUUAAGAUUCAUACCUGACUCCUUACCUUCAUCAAACUCCCAAUCUUCAGAGUUGCGUUUAAUUCUCUCCAAUAAAUUCCACUUCAAGUCAAUAUAUCUCUUCAUCAAAGAACCGGUACAAGAAGUAUCAAGCAUGGUGCGAUCAUCAUGAGAAAGCCGAGCAUAGAAGUUCUGAAUGAUAAUUUCUCUCGAGAGCUCAUGAUUGAGGCAUGAAUAUAGCAUUGAUUUAAGCCUCCCCAAGCUUGAGCGAUGCUUUCUCUGUCACGAGGCCAAAAAUUAUAAAUAUAAUUCCGAUCACGAUGUACUAAAUGCAUAGGAUAAAACUUUUGAUGAAAUUCCAAUUUCAACCGAUUGUAGUCCCAUGAUCCAGUAUCAUCACAUAGCCUAUACCUUGUCAACGCCUUAUCCUUCAAAGAUAAAGGAAAGACCUUCUUCUUGACCUCAUCCUCGGGCACACCUGCAAGCUUAAAUAAACCACAAACCUCAUCUACAUAGAUCAGAUGCAAGUCUGGAUGUGAUGUUCCAUCUCCUGUAAAAGGAUUAGCCAGCAAUUUCUCAAGUAUACCCGAAGAAAAUUCAAAGCAAAUAUUUUCAGUAAGUGCAGCAGGUUGAGGAGCAACUCUUCGUGCUUCCAUUCGAGGUGAAGAUACCCCGAACAAGCCCCUCAAAGGAUUAGUAUCCAUAGUGACAAGUGACAAUAAAUUUUAGCACACUAUAUGAAUGUUUCCUUACCAAGUUCCACUUACCAAAGGCGCUUCACUCCCCGGCAAUGGCACUAGAAAAGAGUCUUGAUGACCCACAAGUAUAGGGGAUCAAUCGUAGUCCUUUUGAUAAGUCAGAGUGUCGAACCCAACGAGGAGCAGAAGGAUCUGACAAGUGGUUUUCAGCAAGGAAAUAUCUCCAAGCACUGAAAUUGUCGGUAACAAGUGAUUGUGUGGUGAGAUGAUUCGUAGCAAGCAACAAGUAACAAAAGUAGUAAGGGUGCAAAAAAGUGACCCAAUCCCUUUUGUAGCAAGGGACAAGCCUGGACAAAGUCUUAUAGGAGGAAAAACGCUCCCGAGGACACACGGGAAUUUCUGUCAUGCUAGUUUCAUCAUGUUCAUAUGAUUCGCGUUCGUUACUUUGAUAGUAUGACAUGUGGGUGGACCGGCGCUUGGGUACUGCCCUUACUUGGACAAUCAUCCCACUUAUGAUUAACCCCUCUCGCAAGCAUCCGCAACUACGAAAUAAGAAUUAAGACAAAGUCUAACCAUAGCAUUAAACUAGUGGAUCCAAAUCAGCCCCUUACGAAGUAACGCAUAAACUAGGGUUUAAGCUUCUGUCACUCUAGGAACCCAUCAUCUACUUACUACAUCCCAAUGCCUUCCUCUAGAAACAAAUAAUGGUGAAGUGUUAUGUAGUCGACGUUCACAUAACACCACUAGAGGAAAAACAACAUACAACAUAUCAAAAUACCGAACGAAUACCAAAUUCACAUGACUAUUAUUAGCAUGACUUAUCCCAUGUCCUCAGGAACAAAAGUAACUACUCACAAAGCAUAAUCAUAAUCAUGAUCAAAGAGGUGAUGAGUAGCAUCAAGGAUCUGAACAUAAACUCUUCCACCAACUAAUCCAACUAGCAUCANNNNNNNNNNNNNNNNNNNNNNNNNNNNNNNNNNNNNNNNNNNNNNNNNNNNNNNNNNNNNNNNNNNNNNNNNNNNNNNNNNNNNNNNNNNNNNNNNNNNGAGGUGGAACGGACUAGAGGAGGGAAAGAGAGAGUUGUGCCAUGACCUUUUUGGGUGCAGCUACGCGCCAUGGCCUUUUCGGGUUCGGCUGUCCUCUCUCCUCUCCAAUAUAUAUAUAUAUAUAUAUAUAUAUAUGUAUGUAUGUAUGUAUGUCUAUAUAUAUAUGUGUAUAUAUAUAUGUAUAUAUAUAUGUAUGAGGGAAGGGAAGGGGUGGCGCCCUAGGGAAAAUCCCUAGGGUUGGCCGGCAGCCCCAAGAGGAGGAGUCCUCCUCCAAUUGGGGUGGUGGAGGGGCUAGGAGGAGUCCUCCUCCUAUUCGGACUCCUCUCAACCUCCUCACUUUGGGUGCAUAUGACCAUAGGGGCUGGCUGCCCAGCCCACCAGGGGUUGGUGCGCCACCUCUUAGGCCUAUGUGCCCCCCCCCCGGGGGGUGGGUGGCCCCUCCCAAUGAACCCUCGGAACCCAUUCGUCACUCCUAGUACUUUACCGGUAAUGCCCGAAACCUUUCCGGGACCUAUAUACCUCCUUCCUAUAUAUCAAUCUUCAUUUUCGGACCAUUCCAUAACUCCUCGUGACGUCCGGGAUCUCAUCCGCGACUUCGAACAACCUUCGGUCACCAAUAUACAUAACUCAACUAUACUGAAACAUCAUCGAACCUUAAGUGUGCAGACCCUACGGGUUCGAGAACUAUGUAUACAUGACCCGAGACACACCUCGGUCAAUAACCAAUAGCGGGACGUGGAUGCCCAUAUUGGCUCCUACAUAUUCUACAAAGAUCUAUAUCGGUCAAACCACGAUGUCAAGGAUUCAAUCAAUCCCGUAUAUUGUUCCCUUUGUCCAUUGAUAUGUUACUCGCCCGAGAUUUGAUUGUCGGUAUCUCCAUACCUAGUUCAAUCUCGUUACCGGCAAGUCUCUUUACUCGUUCUGUAUUACAAUAUCCCGUGACUAACUCCUUAGUCACAUUGCUUGCAAGCACAUUAUGAUGUUGUAUUACUGAGCGGACCCUAAAGAUAUCUCUCCAUCAUACGGAGUGACAAAUCCCAGUCUCGAUUCACGCCAACCCAACAGACACCUUCGGAGAUACCUGUAGAGCACCUUUAUAGUCACCAAGUUACGUUGUGACGUUUGAUAAAUAGAAGGCACCCCUCCGGUUCCUCGGAGUUGCAUGAUCUCAUGGUCAUAGAAACAAAUACUUGACAUGCAGAAAACAGUAGGAAUAAACUGACACUAUCACAUGCUACGUUCGUAGUUUGGAUCUUGUCCAUCACAUUAUUCUCCUAAUGAUGUGAUUCCAUUAUCAAAUGACAACUCAUGCCUAUGGUCAGAAACCUUGACCAUCUUUGAUCAAUUAGCUAGCCCUUAGAGGGUGACUAGGGACACUGUGUUGUGUAUGUACCCACUCAUGUAUUUGAGUUUCCAGUCAAUACAAUUAUAGCAUGGAUAAUAAGCGAUUAUCAUGAACAAGGAAAUAUAAUAAUAAAUNNNNNNNNNNNNNNNNNNNNNNNNNNNNNNNNNNNNNNNNNNNNNNNNNNNNNNNNNNNNNNNNNNNNNNNNNNNNNNNNNNNNNNNNNNNNNNNNNNNNUUUCUAAGAUUGCAAUUUUCUGAAAAAACUGCAAUACGGGAUUUCGUGGAUCUCACCGGAGUUAGUCGCCGGAGUUGGAGAAGACGGCGGGAAGGUUGCUCCGGUGGCCGGCCGAGGCGAUGGAGGGGUCCAGGUGAUGGAGGAGGGCUCGGGCAGAAGGUUGGUGGCGUCGACGGGGCGUGGGGGCGACGGGAGGGAGCAGCAGGAGCUCCGGCGAGUUCCUGUUGGAGGCGAACUCCGGCGAGGUGGGGGCUGCGUUCCGACGAGGGGAGGGGCUGGGCUAUGGGGAAAAUGGGGAGAGGAGGUUGAGGGGAGUAUUUAUAGGGGCUCGGGGUGCUCGGAGAAGGAAGGAGCAAGGAGAUCGGGAAGGUGGAGAUUCCUCUCACCAUGGCUAUGGAAGUUUCUUGUGCACGUGAGGAAGGAGAUAGAGGAAGAAGAAGAUCCUGUUGGGCUAGUUUUUGAAAAGGUCUUAAUGGGCCACCGUUUAUUUCCAUUUAAACACGAUUUCUUUCCUUUUUCAAAACUAGGAAACUAAAACGAUAAAAGGGAAAUCAAAUCAAUUCGGAAUAUAGAGUUUCUAUAUACUAAAAUUAUCAGAAAAAUAAAAUCUAAAUGAUGGGCAUUGUUACACGGCAAAAAUAAAAACUUCAGAAAAAAUUAUUUUCACAAAUUGCCUAAAAGAUUUAUUUUCUUUUGCAAAUAAUUUUCAAAUGACCCUCUAUGUUUUAGGGUUCAAAUAACUUUCAAAAUGCCCGUGUGUUUGAGGGUCAUGUUCCUCCUCUCUUUUCUGUUUGACAGAAUGUAUUUCCCGACAUUUCUUGCACGAAGAAAACAAAUAGAAAUGCAAAAGAAUUCAAAUACAAAUAUCUCCGUUCAAAUUCUUUAUAGUUGAAGAAGUCAUGUCAUCUUCUCUCUUUGCUUUUAAAUGAUUGAAUUUGAAUUCACCGGAGAAGGGGAAAGUCAUUUUAUUCCCUCUCAUUCAAAAGUUUUUGAAAAGUUUCAAAUUUCACACAAGUUUCAAUCACUCAAGCAAACAAACAAACAAUCUAAUAAUUAUUUUAACAUUCCAAAAUUUGGGAUGUUACAACAAGGUACUACACGCAUGCUCCUUGGGGAAAGGUUGGUAGGAGUUAACCAUCGCGCGAUCCCGACCUCCACACAAAGGAUGACAAUCAGUAAAUAAAUCAUGCUCUGACUUCAUCACAUAACGGUUCACCAUACGUGCAUGCUACGGGAAUCACAAACCUUAACACAAGUAUUUCUACGAAUACACAAUUACUCACUAGCAUGACUCUAAUAUCACAUAUGCAUGUCGCAAAACUAUUGUAAGGAAUCAAACAUAUCAUAUUCAGUGAUCUACAAGUUUUAUGUAGGAUUUUAUGACUAACCAUGUGAAUGGCCAACUCAUGUUAACUAUAUAAAUAGGUAUAAAUGAAGCAUGAGAGUUUAAUUAUUUCUACAAAAGAUAUGCCCCGCUCUAACAAAUAUAAGUGAAGCAAAAGAGCAUUCUACAAAUGGCGGUUUUCUAUGUGUAGGGAAACAGGCAAUCCAAACUUCAAAUGAUAUAAGUGAAGCACAUGAAGCAUUCUAUAAAGCCAACCAAGGACUAUCUCAUACCAGCAUUGUGCAUAAAAUAAAAAGGAAAAAUAAACACAAAAGACACUCCAAGCAUUUGCACAUAUCAUGUGACGAAUUAAAAUAUAUCUCUGAGUAAAAUUACCGAUAGAUUGUAGACGAAAGAGGGGAUGACUUCCGGGGCAUCCCCAAGCUUAGACGCUUGAGUCUUCCUUCAAUAUUACCUUAGGGUGCCUCGGGCAUCCCCAAGUUUAGGCUCUUGCCUCUCCUUAUUCCUUCAUCCAUCGUGCUCUCACCCAAAACUUGAAAACUUCAAUCACACAAAACUCAACAAAACUUUGUGAGAUUCGUUAGUAUAAUAAAAUAAAUCACCACUUCAAGUACUGCUGUGAACUCAUUAUAAAUUCAUAUUAGCAUUAUAUCUACUGUAAUACAACUUCACCAUGGUUCAUACCCCCCGAUACUACCCAUAGAUUCAUCAAAAUAAGAGAACAAUGCAUAAAAAACAGAAUCUGUCAAAACAGAACAGUCUGUAGCAAUCUGUAUAUUCCGUAUACUUCUGAUAUCUCAAAAAUUCUGACAAAUUACGAACGUCUGGAAAAUUUGCAUAUCAAUCAGAAGCAAAAAGAAUCAACUCAAAAUCUCUUCCAGAAUAAAAAUGAAAAUUAAUUUCGUGAGCAGAAAGUUUAUGUCUUUUCUCAGCGUGAUCAAACAACUAUCACCCAAACUAAUCGUAAAGGCUUUGCUUGGCACAUUAUUUUUAAAAACACAAAGGAAUUGUACAAGGGGAUAAUUAUUUUUGUGAGAAACUUCCAUGAAAAAUUCUACGUUGUUUCCAUGAGCAUGAACACAAGUGUUCAAGGUCGACCCUCACUUCCGCAAUGCAUCACCUUUCAAUCGCUUCUCUUUUUGAAAAAGUUUUAAGUUACCCUCUAUAUUUUUUUUGUUUUAAAACUAAAUAAAAGCACUCAACAUAAAUAAAUGACUCUCUAAAACUUUCGGGUUGUCUCCCAGGCAGCGCUUUCUUUAAAGCCAUUAAGCUAGGCAUAAAGUGCUCAAGUAAUGGAUCCACCCGGAUCCCAAGGUAUAUCAAAGCCAAUUUUAAUUAGCAAUGAUUUGAAAUUUAGUAGUGAGCACAAGGUAACAUAUAUCAAGCAAUGACGAAGUCUAACUCUCUUCCCAUGCAUUGGCAUGUCGUAAAAGAACAAUUCAUGCACAUCAAGUAAAGGCCAAUACAAAGCAUAAGCAGUUUCUUGCAAUUUUAUCGUAUUGGAAACAUAGAGAGGUGGAGAUGUAGUUCCUCUCUCAUAAUAAUUGCAAGUAGGAGCAGCAAGCACAUGCAUAUUAUAUUCAUCAAAAUCAUCAUGUGUAACAUAAGGAACUAUAGCUAGUUCAUCUUCAUAAGCAUCAUUCAUAUUGGCAUCAUGGCCACAAGCAUAGCAAGCAUCAAGUUCAUCAAAAAGGGAUAUUUCAAACGAAUCCAAGGGAUCAUAGCAUUCAUCCUUCGGUAAGAACGAAGGGAAAUUAAAUAAUGUAUGAGUAGAAGAGUUACUUUCAUUAGAAGGUGGACACGGGUAGCUAGUCCGCUCUUCCUCCUUUUGUUCUUCGCUCUCCUCUUCAUCUUUUUCAUCUAAUGAGCUCACAAUUUCAGCAUUUUCUUCUUCCAUAGUUUCCUGCAAAAUAAUAGUCUCUUCUUGGGCAGCAUAGGAUUUCUCCUUAAAUCGUUCAAUAUGGGCAUUAUAUUCAUAAUUAGUAUAACAAUAACGAAGCAUAGCCAAAUUUUCAGAUCGGUAAGGGGCAUCAUCAUUAUCAUCACACCUUUUAAACAGAGCCUCAAUUUCAUAAGCACCCAUAAAAGCAACAAACUCUUCUAUUUGAUCCACAUCAUAGUAAUCAUAUAUACCAUUAGCAUAAGAAGCCAAGGUUCUAUGAUCAUUAAAUUCACAAGAAAAGGGAAGGUGUGGAGCCUUCAUCCUAGAGCAACAAGUAACACCAUAUCUCUUGCAUAGUUCCCAAGCAUACCAUUUCAACAAAUGGAUUUGAUCCCAUAAAAGUUUCCCUUUUUGAGUCAAGCGAUAAUCCCUAAAGUAUUCACAUUGAUCCAACGUGUAUCCCAUUAUAUAAUUGAAUGGGGCUUUCUCAGGAUUAUUAAAGAAGUGCAUAAUAUUUUCCACAUAACGAGCCUCGAGGGUUUUAGGAGGUUCCCCAUCUCCAUGAGUAGCAAGUACACCUGAUUUUUUUGGUAUUUAGUGUUCCAUAUCCAUAACUAAAGAUAAAGAACAGCUUAGAACAGCAAAUAAAUCUACUUAGUGAUAAAGCAAACAAGCACACACGAGAAUAUUCACCCCACGCUAUUGCUCCACGGCAACGGCGCCAAAAAAAGGUCUUGAUAACCCACAAGUAUAGGGGAUCAAUUGUAGCCUUUCUCGAUAAGUAAGAGUGUCGAACCCAACGAGGAGCUAAAGGUAGGACAAAUAUUCCAUCAAGUUCCAUCGACCACCGAUACAACUCUACGCACACUUUACGUUCGCUUUACCUAGAACAAGUAUGAAACUAGAAGUACUUUGUAGGAGUGAUAGGAAAGGCUUGCAAGAAAGUAAAGAACACGUAAAUAAAACUAGGGGCUGGUUAGAUAAAGAAACAACUACGAGUGUCUAACGAGUGUGGAAAAGUGGUGGUAGGAGUUGCGGAAUUGUCCCUAAGCAAUUGACUACGUUACUAGAUCGAUAGCAAGUAUCAUGUGGGAGAGGCCUCUGCUAGCAUGUCAUCCCUUACUUGGAAUUCUAUGCACUUAUGAUUGGAACUAUUAGCAAGCGUCCGCAACUACUAACGUUCAUUAAGGUAAAACCAAACCAUAGCAAUAAGAUAUAUUGGUCCCCCUUCAAUCCCAUAUGCAUCAAUUUCUAUGCUAGGUUUGAAGCUUCUGUCACUCUAGCCUGCCAAUACAUAGUCCUAUCAACAUACAACUAACCCUAUGGUGUGAUCCACAUGUGCGAUCAUAUGAUGGGCACCAAAGGACAGCAACAUAACCACAAGCAAAUUAAACCAACCAUAGCAAUUUAUCAAUCAUCGAUAGGACAACGAUAAUCUACUCAGACAUCAUAGGAUAGCAACACAUCAUUGGAUAAUAAUAUGUAGCAUAAAGCACCAUGUUCAAGUAGAGGGUACAGCGGGUUGCGGGAGAGUGGACCGCUGAAUAUAGAUGGGGAAGGUGAUGGAGAUGUUGGUGAAGAUGACGGAGGUGUUGGUGUAGAUCGCCGUCACACGAUGAUGUCCCGGGCGGCGUUCCGGCGCUGCCGGGAGAGCGGGGGAGAGAGCCCCACUCCUUCUUCUUCUUCCUUGACCUCCUCCCUAAAUGGGAGAAGGGUUUCCCCUCUGGUCCAUGGUCUCCAUGGCGGCGGAGGGACGAGAGCCCCUCCGAGAUUGGAUCUCUCUCUCUGUGUCCUUCUGUUUCUGCGCUCCCAGAUUCUAUGUUUCACAGUUUCUUAAAUUCCCGGAGAUCCGUAACUACGAUUGGGCUGAAAUUUCAACUUUUGUGUAGAUCGUCGUCACACGGUGAUGUCCCGGGCGGCGUUCUGGCACCGCCGGGAGAGAGGGGGAGAGAGCCUCCCUCCUUAUUCUUAUUCCUUGACCUCCUCCCNNNNNNNNNNNNNNNNNNNNNNNNNNNNNNNNNNNNNNNNNNNNNNNNNNNNNNNNNNNNNNNNNNNNNNNNNNNNNNNNNNNNNNNNNNNNNNNNNNNNNNNNNNNNNNNNNNNNNNNNNNNNNNNNNNNNNNNNNNNNNNNNNNNNNNNNNNNNNNNNNNNNNNNNNNNNNNNNNNNNNNNNNNNNNNNNNNNNNNNNNNNNNNNNNNNNNNNNNNNNNNNNNNNNNNNNNNNNNNNNNNNNNNNNNNNNNNNNNNNNNNNNNNNNNNNNNNNNNNNNNNNNNNNNNNNNNNNNNNNNNNNNNNNNNNNNNNNNNNNNNNNNNNNNNNNNNNNNNNNNNNNCGAUUGGGCUGAAAUUUUAACAGGAUUUUCUUCCGGAUAUUGUCUUUCUUGCGGCGAAAGAAGGGCUCCAAUCGCCUUAACGAGUGGCCACAAGCCUGCCUGCCGCGGGCCCACCCCCUAGCCGCGGCGACAGGGCUUGUGGGAACUCCGUGCAUCGCCUCGCGUUGAUUCUUCUUCCCAAAAAUCAUAAAUAUUCCAAAAAAAAAUCCCCGUAAGUUUUUAUUACGUUUGGACUUCGUUUGGUAUAGAUGUUCUGCGUAACAAAAAACAUGCAACAAACAGGAACUGGCACUGGGCACUGGAUCAAUAUGUUAGUCCCAAAAAUAGUAUAAAAAGUUGCCAAAAGUAUAUGAAAGUUGUAUAAUAUUGGCAUGAAACAAUCAAAAAUUAUAGAUACGACGGAGACGUAUCAUCGCGCCAAUCUAUUACUUCUACUACUAUAGCUAACCGUUAGCGAUAAAGUAAAGUAAUCAACAUGGUGUUGCAUCUCAUACAAUAAAUUAAGACAAGUCCUAUGGCUCUUGCCGGUUGUCAUACUCAUCGACAUGCAAGUCGUGAAUCCUAUUACGAGCACAUGAUCAAUCUCAUACAUCACAUAUGUAAUAUCACAUCCUUUUGGCCAUAUCACAUCACAUAGCAUACCCUGCAAAAACAAGUUAGACGUCCUCUAAUUGUUGUUGCAAGUUUUACGUGGUUGGUUAGGGUUUCUAGCAAGAACGUUUCUCACCUACGUGACAGCCACAACGUUGAUAUGCCAAUGCUAUUUACCCUUCAUAAGGACCCUUUUCAUUGAAUCCAAUUUGACUAAAGUGGGAGAGACAGACACCCGCUAGCCACCUUAUGCACCAAGUGCAUGUUUGUCGGUGGAACUAGUCUCACGUAAGCGCACGUGUAAGGUCGGUCCGGGCCGCUUCAUCCCACAAUACCGCCGAAAAAGGAUAAGACUGGUAACGACAAGCAAGUUGAAAAAUCAGCGCCCACAACUUUUGUGUUCUACUCGUGCAUAGAAUCUACGCAUAGAACCUUGGCUCGGAUGCCACUUUUGGGUUACGUAGUAAUUUAAAAAAAAUCCUAUGCCAUACAACGAUCUAUCUAUGGAGAAACCAGCAACGAGAGAUGUUGUAGAGCAUCUUCAUACCUUUGAAGACCACUAAGCGGUAGCGUUACUAUGAACGCGGUUGAUGGAGUCGUACUCGCAUCGAUUCAGAUCGCAGUGGAUUCCGAUCUAUGUGUCGAACUACGACACCUCCUCAUUCAACACGCGUGCAGCCCGGUGACGUCUCCAACACCUUGAACCAGCAAGGAGGAAGGAGAGGUUGGGGAAGAGAGCUCCGGCAGCACGACGGCGUGGUGGUGGUGGAGUUACGUGGUUCUCCGGCACAACUUUGCUAGGCUAUGCGGAGGACGAGGAUAGAGAGAGGAAGGAAUGCGCCGAGAGAGAGAGUUUUUGUGUCUCAAAUCAUCCAAAAACUCCACUAUAUAUAGGCAGAGAGGGAGGAGGUGCCCACCCUUACGUUUCACACCCUAAGGGGUGCGGCAGCCUCAUCUGCACCAGGGAGGUGGCGGCCAAGUCAGGGAGAGGUGGAGGCGCACCCCUAGGUGGGCCUUGGGCCUCCUGCGCUAGGGUUUCUCCCCUUUCCCUCUCUUGUUGUGCCUUGGGCCUAGGUGGGAGGCGCGCGAGCCCACUCUGGGCUGGUUCCCUUCCACCUUUUGGCCCAUGCUAGCCUUUGGGGCUGGUGGCCCCUCCCGGUGGACGCCCGGAACCCUUCUCGUGGUCCCGGUACGUUACCGGUGACGCCCGAAACACUUCGUGUGUCCGGAACCUCACAUCCUUUAUAUCAAUAUUUACCUUCGGGCCAUUCCGUAUCUCCUCGUGACGUCCGGGAUCUCAUCCGUGACUACGAACAACCUUCGGUAACCACGUACACUAUUUCCCUAUAACCCUGGCGUCAUCGAACCGUCAGUGUGUAGACCCUACGGGUUCGGGAGACAUGCAGACAUGACCGAGACAUCUCUCCGGCCAAUAACCAACAGUGGGGUCUGGAUAUCCAUGUUGGUUCCCACAAGUUCCACGAUGAUCUCAUCGGAUGAACCACGAUGUCAAGGAUUCAAUCAAUCCCGUAUGCAAUUCCCUUUGUCUAUCGGUAUGAUACUUGCCCGAGAUUUGAUCGUCCGUAUCCCCAUACCUUGUUCAAUCUCGUUACCAGCAAGUCUCUUUACUCAUUCCGUAGCACAUCAUCCUGUGGCUAACUCCUUAGUCGCACUGAGCUCAUUAUGAUGAUGCUCUAUCGAGUGGGCCCAGAGAUACCUCUCUGUGAGACGGAGUGACAAAUCCCAGUAUCGAUUCGUACAACCCAAAAAACACUUUUGGAGAUACCUGUAGUGAACCUUUAUAAUCACCCAGUUACGUUGUGACAUUUGGUACACCCAAAGCACUCCUACGGUAUCCGGGAGUUGCACUAUCUCAUGGUCUAAGGAAAUGAUACUUGACAUUAGAAAAGCUUUAGCAGAUGAAAAACACGAUCUAGUGUUAUGCUUAGGAUUGGGUUUUGUCCAUCACAUCAUUUCCCAAUGAUCUGAUCCCGUUAUCAAUGACAUCCAAAGUCCAUGAUGAAGAAACCAUGACCAUCUAUUGAUUAACGAGAUAGCCAACUAGAGGCUCACUAGGGACACAUUGUGAUCUAUGUAUUCACACAUGUAUUACGGUUUCCGGUUAAUACACUUAUAGCAUGAAUAAUAGACAUUUAUCAUGAACUGGAAAUAUAAUAAUAACCACUUUAUUAUUGCCUCUAGGGCACAUUUCCAACAGUCCCCCCUAGGGUGCGUCGUGCAGGCUUCUCGCCUCCCGGCAGGUGUCCUUCCCCCUACUCCAAGUCUGGCAGGUUUCUUCUGGUCCAAGAAAAAUCAUUCCGGAGAUUUUAUUCCGUUCGAACUCGGUUUAAUAUUCCUUAUGUGCAAUACUCAAAAACAUGGAAAUAAAAGAAACUGGCACUAGGCUCUAGAUUAAUAGGUUAGUCCCAAAAAUAAUAUAAAAUAACAUACUAAUGCAUAUAGAACAUCCAAAACAGAUAAUAUGAUAGCAUGGAACAAUCAAAAAUUAUAGAUACGUUGGAGACGUAUCGAACACCCCCAUGCUAGUCACAUGGAGCAGCAACGACUUGCCCAUGACUCUCCUAUGCCACUCCCAUUACCUCUGUGAUGACAUCAGCUAGCACUGUCGGCUCCUCCCUUGUCGAGGAGGAGGCUCUGAUGCAUCACUCUCGGCUACAGCCCCCACCCCUCAGUGGCACAAAGCGACAUCUUCUAGCAUUGCUCAAUCACCACCCAUGUUAGGGAUCUGGUCAGAUUAGUGGGCUGGCCACCCCAGCUCAUUGGCAUCUAAGACUACCCGCGAUGGGAGUAACAUAAGUAGUAACAUACAUGUCACCGAAGCAAAGAGAACUAAUUAAUGAGAAGAGAGAAAUUGAGUAACUUAGCUAGUUACUCAUACUAUGAGUAACAUACCGCAUACCAAGGCAAGAUGAGUCUAUAAGCUAAUAAAUUAAAGGCUCAAUCUCCCCAUUGUGAGUAGGCAAAAUGAGUCUAUAAGCGAAAAAAUGUGAAAUUGAUAAAUCAAACUUGCAACCUGCCGCUGAGUUAAGAAGAGCACAUUCAAUGAGCUAACCCAUGAUAUGUGCUCGAGAAAGGGUUUGAUCAUCUAUUAUAUAAUCCCACCUCGCUUAAACCAAUUUAAAUACGGCUGCGAGUUUAAAUCAUCAAGCCGUCUCGGAUCAAUAGGUAAAGGUGGGAAGAGGAAUUAAAACUGAGGAAGAUGGAUGGAUCAUGACCCAAAGAAGAAAAUUGAUGUUCAAAGCUGUAUUUCUUUUGUCCAAGUCCAUAAUUUGAUAUGCUGCUCUAUUUAACUUCUAGAAAUCCCAUUAGCCUGACAAGGUAUACCAUGCUAAAUUAGUUUAGUGGUUAUAUAUCUAAUCACUAUUAGGUUUUGUCUUCUUUAUUUGAAAGCUUCUUGUGAAGAUUGGUUCCCUUUGCCUAUUUUUUGUUGCCUCUGAAUUGAUGCUACAAAUUGUGUAUUGUCUUUUUCAUAGUUUGUCACAUUUUUCUCUUUGAAUGGAAUAUGAAAUAUAUGGAAUGGUUGAACAGUUAGAGCGUCUAUAGCCGGACCCCUCAUACCCAUCGCAAACUCCCGGGCGGGCUGCCCGAUCACUUACCGGUCACAAAAACGCGACCCAAUCGGACCCCUCAAACGGGCCUUAAACGCCCACGCUUACCGCGCCCCUCAUAUCAAGCCCAAAUAUGGGGUGGAUAUGGUAGAGCCCAGGCACGCCCGCCACAUCGGACCCGACAACCUAUCCCCACCACAAAUUGCACCAAAUUCACCCCGCAGAAGAUCCAAAUCCAUUUGGCGUUUUCCUCUCUUCUUCCUCCUCGCGUCGUCCGUCUGGCAGCUCCCCCACCACGCGCGCUCUACUGUUGUUCACAACAUCUGCCCUGCCAACUCUGUUAGAAGAGUCUUCUUUCUCGUCCUUGCUACAGAGGACGUCAUCGUCAGCCUGGAAGACACUGCGACCGGAUUUUUUGGUCAAUUUUUUAGGGAAACUAUGGAUUCCAAUGCUUCAUCCGGCGAGGAGUAUGGACAGACGAAGCUUGAUCAACUGAUUGAACAUGAGUUCUUUGAUUCAUCGAAUUCAGACAAAGAAGUGGACAUGAUCAUGCUCAUGGCCAUGAAAGAGGAAAUGAACCAACAGGUGGAGCAUAUUCUCAAUUUUAAGGGCUCAAUCAAAGGGAGAAGAGUGAUCAAUCGUGUCAGGGUAUCCAGAGCAAAGCUAAUGCAGAAGGAUUACUUUGCUCUGAACCCAACUUUCCCGGAUGAUCCAUGGUUUCAUUGUUGUUUUCGCAUGCGAAAAACAUUUUUUGCGCAUUGUGGGGGAAGUGGAGGCACACGAUGACUACCUCAAGGUCACAAGGGAUUUGUGCGGAAAACUCUCUUUCUGUGCAAAACAAAAGUGCACGGUUGCUCUGAGAAUGCUUGCACUUCGUACUGCGACAGAUGCCACUGGUAAGAAGGUGAGGAUGGGGGAGAGCACAUGCCUAAAGACUACUAUCAAGUUUGCUCGUGUUGUGGUUGAGGUGUUUGGAGCAGAGUAUCUGACAGAAUCAAAUGUGCAGGACACUAAGAAGUUGUUUGCUAUUGGAGAGGCCAGAGGGUUUCCAAGAAUGCUUGGAUCAAUUGAUUGCAUGCAUUGGCAAUGGAAGAACUUCCCCAAAUAUUUGUGAGGAAUGCUUCAAGUCACAUCAAAGAACCCACCAUCAUACUGAAGCAGUGGUAUCACAUGACUAAUAGAUUUGACAUGCUUUCUUUGGAAUGUCGGGUUCUCACAACGACAUCAACAUGCUUAAACGAUCUCCGGUGUUCAGGAGGCUUUGCAAUGGGGAAUCACCUCUGUGCAACUACAUCAUCAACGAUCGAGACUACAUCAUGGGAUGCUAUCUUGCCGAUGGCAUAUAUCCUCAGUUGGCUGCAUUUGUGAAGACCAUAUCUGAACCACAUGGCAAGAAACAAAAGCACUUCGCAAUAAUGCAGGAAGCAGCUAGGAAGGAUAUGGAUAAUGGCAUUGGGAGUGCUACAAGCGCAUUGGGGAAUUGUCAGUGGGGCUGCAUUGAUGUGGAAAUCAGAAACUUUGCGACAGCUGAUGACAUGUGUUAUUUUGCAUAAUAUGAUCGUCAAGGAUGAGGGUGAUGGUGUAGCUCAACCCAAUGAUUUUGAAGCACCUUGAGAACAAGUUGAAAUCCUGGAAGAUCAAGAUGUAGUUCAGCUUAUGAACUUUCUGCGGAUGCAUCAGAAUCUCCAAAAUCAUCAGGUGCACGCGCAACUACUCAAUGAUCUGGUGGAGCAUAUGUGGAUCCACAAUGAAAAUCAAAGAGGGGAUGAUUGAAUGUGCCCUUCUAAUAAAUUUGAUGUAAACCCUAUUACGUAUGAUACCAACAUUUAUUAUUUACGUGUGACAUUAAUUUGUGUGAUUGACGUGUAUGGUUUUGCAUGAAUUUGAGAGUCCGGAUAUAAGAUAUGUGGAUACAAGAAGCGACAUAUGAGGGGCCGUCCGGAUGCGUCUGUGGACAUGCCCGGACGCCUCCGCGGAUGUAUAGGGGGCUGAAUUUUCCCAGUCCGGUUGUAGAUGCCCUUAGUAACUACUUUCCCUGCCAUGGUACACACACAUUGUUCUAUUUCGGCCAAGUUGCUUAGAGCAGAAAAUUUUGUUCUUAUUUUCCAUGGGCUAAUAAAAAUGUGAUGUAUAAUUCACUUAUAUGUACAUCCAAGAGCGACCCUCGGGGUCCUUACACACUUGAGAUCAAUGACUAAGAGCUCUCCUUGAUGUAUGCAGGUACUACUCUGCUAUAAACAAGCAAAUUGAUGUUAAUAUAAUUUAUUUAUUUUACUGAAUCAUUUGACGCACACAUUAUCGAGGUGUCAAGCAGAUGUCCAAUUCAAUCUGUUUUCCAUGCAGAUAUAUUGCUCUCUCAAUUACUAAUAUACAAAUCAUUGUCUGCUUUCAUUAAAAUGAAGUGUAGUUUGAAAUCCCAAAUUCAAAAUAUGUGUAUUUUCCAAAUUUCACAGGUUUUGGUGAGGUCCGGAAAAUUUUGUUUCCGAAAUUAAAAUCUUGGACAUGGUGAUGAUUUUCCUAAUAGCAUUUCAAAGAAGAAAAUNNNNNNNNNNNNNNNNNNNNNNNNNNNNNNNNNNNNNNNNNNNNNNNNNNNNNNNNNNNNNNNNNNNNNNNNNNNNNNNNNNNNNNNNNNNNNNNNNNNNNNNNNNNNNNNNNNNNNNNNNNNNNNNNNNNNNNNNNNNNNNNNNNNNNNNNNNNNNNNNNNNNNNNNNNNNNNNNNNNNNNNNNNNNNNNNNNNNNAUUUUCUUCUUUGAAAUUGCAUCGUGCAUUUCAUUGAUUUGGUAUUGGAUAGAUUUACACAAAUAUUGUUUCCAUUGACCAUCAUGUGCACAUGUAAUUCCCCAAUUGGAAAGGAGAUUAUUUCUUUUUGAAAAACAAAAGAAGUUUAUUUCAAUCCGAAUUCUACAAUAAAAUUUUGACCACUCUUUGUGUAUCUAUGAAAUGCAUAUAUUUGAUCGAUAAUCAGAUGAAAACUUUAUAAGCCAAAUGUUACAUAUUUAAAUACUCCCUCCAUCACAGUUUAGAAGGCGCAUGAGCAAUCUCUUGAACCAAGGUGAAUCGUGAUUGACUCUUUGCAAGUAUUCACAAAACAACCCACGACGCCUAAUUAUUUCAGAAGAUAAUGCAGAGUAACUCACACAACCACUAAACGAGGAGUCCUCGUGCAUGAAGCCUUUCCAUUCUGCGUGCACACCCAACAUUUUCAUUAUGCAUGCAACCUACUAGUACUCCUAAUUAACCAAGCGGUAAAUGUCAUACGCCUUAAUCCUUUUUUAUCAUGAAAAUGCAUGUAAACGGAACCGCGCCUUCUAAACCGUGACGGAUGGAGUAGUAUAAUUUUGUGUUUUCACGGAUUAGCGACGCAACCCAGCGAUUUAAUACCAAAAGGAAGAUAAGGGUGUCAAAAGCCAACUGAGUGGCAACUACGACAGGUAAACUCUCAAAUACCACACAAACUCAAAUUUAUUUAAUAAUGACAAUUGCUACACACGGUAUAUUUUGCACAUAUAAUUUUAGUGAACCAUGGAGUGUUUUGCAUGGUAUAGUUAUGGAUACACGUCAAAGUUUCUCGUACUACAAUCACAUAAGCAUUGAUGGUAGGCUGGCAACGAAUGAUAUGGGACCAGAAAGGAUGAGUGUUGGAGUUAGAGAGCUAGGGUAUAAGCAUUGGUGGUAGGCUGACUAUGAAUGAUAUGGGACCAGAAAGGAUGAGUGUUGGAGUUAGGGAGCUAGGGUUUGAAGUUCGCACAAGACGUCACGAUUGGAAGGAAAGGUGUUGACAAGGUAUCAUUCCCAAUCACGCCUAACCCCAAACAAGCAUGUUUUGCUUGUAGUGAGUGUUACUCCAGAUUUAUUUGCUCAGCAACUUACUUUAAAUUUGUUUGCAAUAUUAUUUCUUUUAAUUUACUUUUAAAUUUAGCUCGUGGCAUUAGGUACAUUUGAUUAAGUUUUGGGAUGAUAUAAUACGUUCAGCUAAGUUGGUUCGGGACUACAUCUCAUGUUUUAAAAUAACAUCUUGGAAAAAACUACCCUCAAUAGAUCCAUUGUAUGUCAUGUUUAAACAAAGGGCGUGCACAUGUAAAUGUCUUGCAAUGCUUAUUAUUUAGAGAUAUAUGCUAUUUUUUAAUCAGUUCAAUGCACAGGCAUUUUUGCUAGUAAAAUUCCUUCAAAUCAAAAAGGGCUAAUUAUCUUUUUGCCCUCAGUGGUGUCUCUGUGCUAAGUUUUUCCCUCGGUUGUGAAUCAUGCUCAGUUUUUGCCCCUAGUUUGUCCGCACCGACUCAUUCCGUGAACACCGCCGUCUCCGUCAGGUCAACGUUUUGACUCAGCCCUUACAGGUGGGAUCAGGUGGCACAGACGUGCUACGUGAUCAGACCAUUGCUCUCGUGGCUUGUGGGACCCAACAAAGAGCCGUGGGUGUAAUGUAUAAAGCAAAUUAUAAAGGAACAAUUCAAAUUCCAUUCAUUUUUAGGAUAUAUUACAUCGAUCCGAAAGGUAAUUUGUAAAAAAACCUAAUCUAAUCCUCUUCUGUGAGGUCCAUAACCGCCGUGUCGCCGCCGCCGUCAGUGUCGUCGUCGCUGUUGCUCAGAAGCCAGUCGUCCUCCUUCGCCACCGCCUCCAGCGCCACGACCUGCUGCACUGCCGCCACGGCCAGUGCUUCGUCCAAGGCCUCCUCCGCAGCAGCCCGCACGGUCUCCUCUGCCGACUGCGCCAACGCCGUCAGCAACCCAGGUGUGUCGGCGGGGUCGCCGUCCUGGUGCAGCGCCGCCUGCUCUGGCGGGAGAGGGACCUCCGACGAGGCAGGAAGGGUAGCGGCGGCAGUCGCGGCUGCGCGGUGACAGGAAGGGCCGGCCUCCCACGGGAUGUUCCCGACGGGGACACCACGGGCGACGCGCCUGAACGCCCCGACGAUGUCGUCAAAGUUUUUGCCUGUCCAAUAGCGGCGGCGCCCUUUCCUAUCGUACCGGCCGUCGGGGUGCCUCCGGAGUUUCUCCCUCAAUGCCGGUGGUCCGAGGGUUGGGUGGACGUCGGCGGAGAUUCACCAUGGCCGCGGCAGCUUUGCCAACGGCGACACGGACAACCCGAACCGGGCCAGAUCUUCGUUCUGGGCGGCGGUCAGGCUGGACAGCCCGCCUCCGCCCGACGCCACACCGUCGCUGUCGGAGUCGCUUGACAUGUCGGUUGUGGCAGAGAGAAUCGUGGCAAGAAAGAAGAGAGGAGGAGGGGUUGGUGCUGAUCGGGACGGGGCCGACAUCGGCUUUUAUAGCCCUGCGGGGGCAGGCGAGGCGUCGGGUGGUAAAACCGCGCUGUUAAUGCGCAUGACAGGCAAGGCGUUAGGCGGCUGAACCGCGCCUUACUGCGAGUGGCAGUCGAGGCGUCGGGCGUCCGAACCGCGGCAUUACUGCACGCGGCAGUCGAGGCGACCGAACCGCGACCUAUCAGCGCACGACAGCCGAGGAAGGAGGCAACGGUGCCAGCACGCGACAGCCGAGGAAGGAGGCGGCGGUGCCAGCAUGCGACAGACGAGGCGGCCGGCUGGUCAGCGGGCACGGUAGUAGAGGAAGAAGGCGGCGGUGCCAGCAUGCGACAGUUGAGGAAGGAGGCGGCGGUGCCAGCGCGCGGCAGGCGAGGCGACCGGCUGGUCAGCGGGUGCGGUAGUCGAGGAAGAAGGCGGAGGAGGAAGAAACCCCUCCCGCGCAUGCAUGCCCACGUCUGCCUCCCGCGCAUGCAUGCCCACGUCCGCCUCCCCCGCAUGGAUGCCCACGUCGCCGUACUUCCCAUGCAUGCAUGCCUGGAAAGGCCGAGACGGGCAUUAACAACGCUUACAGGCCCGGACAGCAUGACGGCCCAACGGUCCAUCCAGCGCGCCCAUUAUGUAUGUUGAGAAAAAAAAUCGCACAGCCUAUCAGAUUGCAUCUCAAGGAUCGCCCCUCCUCCUCGCCGCAGAUCGACGAUCUUUGUUCGACGCUAGAGUUAGAUGGACGGUCCUUGUUCAUCGCUAGGGUUAGCGGGGUUUGGGAGGGGUUUGGAGCAAUCAAAGAUAGGUUUGACCAGAUUCCGAAUGAGCAUAAUAAAAUAAUAAAAAUCAUAAAAAUGAAAAAUCAACGCACAUAGUAUUCUUAUGUUAUAUACUAACGAUUUAAGUUGAUAAACAAGAUCUACAUACAUUUAAACGAAAAGUUCGUGUGUCUCAUGUGAUAUCUCAAGUAUCUCAAACUCUCUUGUAUGAAGUGAAGAGAAGUUAUUUGGGGAAAUGAACAUGAAAAUUUCAAAAACCUCAUCACAACUUCAUUUUGGAGUGACUAAGAAGGAUCCAGGCUUAGUUUUUCAUUUUUAUGUUUUAAACUUGUUUAAAUGUUCGUCGAAGUUAGGUUUGACCAGAAUUCAAAUGGGCAUAAAAAAUUCAAAAAAAAAUCAGAAAAAUGAAAAACCAGCGCACAUAGUCUUCUUAUGUCAUAUAGUAGCAAUUUAAGUUGAUAAACAAGGUCUACAUACAUUCAAAUGAAUUUUUUUGAUGUAUGAAGUGAAAAGAAGUGGUUUGGGGUUUGAAACAUGAAAUUUUCAAAAACCUCACCACAGCUUCAUUUUAGAGUGACUAAGAAGGAUCCAGGGUUAGUUUUUUAUUUUCAUGUUUUAGACUUAUUUAAAUGUUGGUCAAAGUUAGGGUUGACCAGAAUUCAAAUGGGCAUAAUCUAAAAAAAAUCAAAAAAAAUGAAAAAUCAGCGCACAUAGUCUUCUUAUGUCAUAUACUAGCAAUUUAAUUUGAUAAACAGAGUCUACAUACAUUCAAAUGAAAGUUUUUCACGUAUGAAGUGAAGAGAAGUGGUUUGGGGUUUGGAACAUGAAAUUUUCAAAAACCUCACCACAGCUUCAUUUUGGAGUGACUAAGAAGGAUCCAUGGUUAGUUUUUCAUUUUGAUGUUUUAGACUUCUUUAAAUCUUGAUCAAAGUUAGGUUUGACCAGAAUUCAAAUAGCAUUGUGGUCUAUUUGUUUCUCUUCACGGAAUGUGGCAGUUCUCGUCCACGUGUGUGCGACUUUUAUCAUAGUUUGUUUUGUAUUUGAGAACUUAAGACUUUGUUUGCUUACUUAGUUAAUAAAAAAAGUCCGGUUGCUCUUGGUCUGUGUUGUGUGAAAAUAUUUUUUGUUUGUUAUUUCCAACCAAGCACUCGAAAGCUGGCAGGCACACCUUGUCAGCAUGGUAUGUCUUGAAUGCUACUUAACUUGGCGAUGGUGCAUCUUGCAUUCCACUCUGCUUUUGUUGGAUAUAAUGUGAGGUUUGUUUGUUUUUUUGCUUUUAGAGUGGCGAACAUCUGGGAUAGAACCGACCAAGCAUUUUUAUUUGUUUGCCUUCUGGUGAUAACAGUGUGGUGAUAACCGACCGAGCAAAGUAUAUCUGACAGGUCAAACGCGCAAUAGAAAGAUUUCUCUUUGUGUUGAUUGGCCUGGUUUAUAUCAAACUUCUAAAAAUUCAUGGCCUACUGUUUCGAUCUAAUUUGUUCACUGAACAUUUGAUAGCUAGGCCAACUUAUGAGUUGUGCGCUUUUCAAGGGUCACCACAAUACACCUAUGAUCGUCUAGCGUAAUUUUUUGUUCAAACAGAAGCUUUAAGAGUAAAUAUUAUGGAAAAAAGUUAGCAUAAAAGGAACAUAGGUGGUGUUAGCCGGUCAAUAGAUGGUGCUAGCCGGUCAAUAAGCAAGGAACAUAGGUGGUGCUAUGCAUUCUCCCUAGAAAUAUCGUGGAGCUUCACGUCAAUGGUCACAUAUGCUUAUCUGUAGCUUUAUCUUGAUCACCGUGUUGGACAAGAUAUUCUUGAGAAACCUUAUAACGAGACGGAGGUGGCAAGUGUUUGAGUUAAAUUUGGUUAAUUAGUAUACUUUUAACACAUUCUCUCGAGGCUGAAUCCUGAGCCAGAACUCUCAGUCUCAGAUGUGUCUGGGCAUAAGGAAUAGAAACGCCACAACUUUAAUACGGAGUAGGAAAUUAUUUUCCAUGAGGCCACACCGCGGGUCGAGCAGGUGGCGGGCGUCCCACCCGUGGCGUCGUAGGAAGGUGGCAGACGGAGCAGGUAGCAGUGGAGCAGGAGGCCGGGCGGUGACGGGACAAAGUGGCGUCGAGUGGCCCGGUUAGAACACUAGGAUUGAUUUGAAGACGUUGUUGCGCGGUCCCACAUGUAAGCUCCAGACCCACGUCCAUGCGGUCCCACGUAUAAGCUUCGGACCCACUACCACCAACGUCAAUAAAUGGAAUGGACUCAAAAUUGCCCGUUUGGCCUCGUCAUAGUAGUUGCGCACAGUCUAGGAACAAAAUUAAGCACGAUUCCCAGGACAAAAAUGAGCACAUGGACACCACUAAGGACAAACGGAUAAUUAGCCCAAUCAAAAAUGUGUUUAGUUUAACCGUAAAUAAAAAAGAGGAGGUGUUUAGUUUUCAGAAAGAGAAAAGAAAAGAGUGCCCACAACUCAACUAUAGCAGCCAGUACUGCUGGUCAAUCGAGAGUUCAAUGAUAACAUAGUUAACCUAUAAAGUGGCAGCUUUCUCUAAAAAAAAAGAGAAAAAUACUACGUGCCGCCGCAGCGACCGGCAAAUAGGAGGGCUCGAGAACCUCUCUGUCUCUCUCUCUCUCUCUAUCGCACGUGAGGCCAACCAACAGCCAGCAACCCAGCUUUGACCGGUCAAAAUCAGAUUCGAAAUCACGUUUUCUCUGUCCUUUAUCUACUGCCCCGACUGCUUCUCCUACCUCCACCCCCCCCGUGCGCUGGCUCCGCG